ACUUCUUCGUUGUAAUGUAGUCCAUAUUUUCGGAUUCUAGCUUCUGAUUACAAAUAUCCUUAUUUUGUUGUCUUAUCUCAUCGAAGCAUCUGUAUAUGUCCAUCGCCUGAACACAUUCCUAGAACUUCUUAGGGAGUGAGCUAUGUUUGAGCUUAGUGGAUUCGAUGUGACUAGAAGCAACAAUUAUUUCAAGCUUUAUGAUUCUCCUGUGGCCAUCCGUCUAAAUGAGUUUACGAAGAUGGUUGAAGUUCCUGCUGUUGCUCAUCUGAUUUCUACUGAGAUGUUUAGGUUUCGAUCUGUUGAGCAACUCAUGUCUUUAGCUAAUACUAAUGUUGAGCUUCCAGGGUGGUGGCCACACCCCUGAUGAUGAUAUGCAUUCCAAGUUCAAUGUUGGUGUCUCAUCUGGCGGUAAUCCCGCUGAGGGUGGUGAAGAUCCCAUGGAACCAUCUGAUGCUGAGGAAACCAUAGCAAGUCGUGAGCAGACAUAAUACACUUCUGAGACUGUUUAUAACGUCCCACCAGAUUCACCUGAAGGGAAUCCACCGAAAAAGGGUCGGAAUGCAAAGUCCUUUAAGUAGCAGAUAUGAGGAACUAUGCAGUCGUGUUGACAUACGCUUUGUCUUUGUCGCUCAGUUUAUGCUAGGACAGUUGGUCCACUAUCUAAUUUAAAAUUCAUUUGUUUUUGUUUCUAUUUGCUAGACGUUUGAAGUUUUUAAUAUUACUCUUUUCUUAUUUUAUAAUGAACCCACUUUUAUG